rnacentral:rRNA from 1 species
AGCCGAUGAAGGACGUUACUAACGACGAUAUGCUUUGGGUAGCUGUAAGUAAGCGUUGAUCCAGAGAUUUCCGAAUGGGGGAACCCAGCAUGAGUUAUGUCAUGUUAUCGACAUGUGAAUUUAUAGCAUGUCAGAAGGCAGACCCGGAGAACUGAAACAUCUUAGUACCCGGAGGAAGAGAAAGAAAAAUCGAUUCCCUGAGUAGCGGCGAGCGAAACGGGAAGAGCCCAAACCAACAAGCUU